rnacentral:rRNA from 1 species
AUUGAACGCUGGCGGAAUGCUUUACACAUGCAAGUCGAACGGCAGCACGGACUUCGGUCUGGUGGCGAGUGGCGAACGGGUGAGUAAUAUAUCGGAACGUAUCCAAUAAUGGGGGAUAACUAAUCGAAAGGUUGGCUAAUACCGCAUACGUCCUACGGGAGAAAGCUAGGGACCUUCGGGCCUGGCGUUAAUGGAGCGGCCGAUAUCGGAUUAGCUAGUUGGUGAGGUAAAGGCUCACCAAGGCGACGAUCCGUAGCUGGUCUGAGAGGACGACCAGCCACACUGGAACUGAGACACGGUCCAGACUCCUACGGGAGGCAGCAGUGGGGAAUUUUGGACAAUGGGCGAAAGCCUGAUUCAGCCAUUCCGCGUGAGUGAAGAAGGCCUUCGGGUUGUAAAGCUCUUUCGCAAGAGAAGAAAACUUACCCUCUAACAUAGGGUGAGGUUGACGGUAUCUUGAUAAGAAGCACCGGCUAACUACGUGCCAGCCGCCGCUGUAAUAC